rnacentral:rRNA from 1 species
GACGAACGCUGGCGGCGUGCUUAACACAUGCAAGUCGAACGGAAAGGCCCUGCUUUUGUGGGGUGCUCGAGUGGCGAACGGGUGAGUAAAACGUGAGUAACCUGCCCUUGACUUUGGGAUAACUUCAGGAAACUGGGGCUAAUACCGGAUAGGAGCUCCUGCUGCAUGGUGGGGGUUGGAAAGAUUCGGCGGUUGGGGAUGGACUCGCGGCUUAUCCGCUUGUUGGUGGGGUAGUGGCUUACCAAGGCUUUGACGGGUAGCCGGCCUGAGAGGGUGACCGGCCACAUUGGGACUGAGAUACGGCCCAGACUCCUACGGGAGGCAGAAGUGGGGAAUAUUGCACAGUGGGCGGAAGCCUGAUGCAGCAACGCCGCGUGCGGGAUGACGGCCUUCGGGUUGUAAACCGCUUUCGCCUGUGACGAAGCGUGAGUGACGGUAAUGGGUAAAGAAGCACCGGCUAACUACGUG